UGAAGGGAUCUCUUCUGUUUGUCACAUCCCAGCCUGCUUAAAUCCAUCUCGACUAGUCCCGAGCACACACCCGCAUGAACCGCGCCUGCUGUUCCUCAUGAAGACUGCACCUGCUCAAACCAGCAUUCAAACCUGUGUCCGCUCAUGCCAAGCCUCAUUUGAACACGAAAAUGCCAAGACCCACACCAAAUCAGUCCACA
rnacentral:lncRNA from 1 species